UAGGGAAUCUUCCGCAAUGGACGCAAGUCUGACGGAGCAACGCCGCGUGAGUGAAGAAGGAUUUCGGUUCGUAAAACUCUGUUGUUAGAGAAGAACAGCGCAUAGAGUAACUGUUAUGCGUGUGACGGUAUCUAACCAGAAAGCCACGGCUAACUACGUGCCAGCAGCCGCGGUAAUACGUAGGUGGCAAGCGUUGUCCGGAUUUAUUGGGCGUAAAGCGAGCGCAGGCGGUCAAUUAAGUCUGAUGUGAAAGCCCCCGGCUCAACCGGGGAGGGUCAUUGGAAAGUGGUUGACUGGAGUGCAGAAGAGGAGAGUGGAAUUCCAUGGGUAGCGGUGAAAUGCGUAGAUAUAUGGAGGAACACCAGUGGCGAAGGCGACUCUCUGGUCUGUAACUGACGCUGAGGCUCGAAAGCGUGGGUAGCAAACAGG
rnacentral:rRNA from 1 species